UACAGGGGGUGCAAACGUUGCUCGGAAUUAUUGGGCGUAAAGCGCGCGUAGGCGGCUACUUAUGUCGGAUGUGAAAGCCCUUGGCUCAACUGAGGAAGUGCACCCGAAACUGAGUAGCUGGAGUACGAAAGAGGGUCGCGGAAUUCCCGGUGUAGAGGUGAAAUUCGUAGAUAUCGGGAGGAACACCAGUGGCGAAGGCGGCUCUCUGGGCAGAUACUGACGCUGAGGAGCGAAAGCGUGGGGAGCGAACAGG
rnacentral:rRNA from 1 species